UACAGAGGGUGCAAGCGUUGUUCGGAAUCAUUGGGCGUAAAGGGCGUGUAGGCGGUAUGUUAAGUCAUGUGUGAAAUCCCUCGGCUCAACCGGGGAACGACGCAUGAAACUGGCAAGCUAGAGUACCAAAGAGGGGGGUGGAAUUCCCGGUGUAGCGGUGAAAGCGUAGAUAUCGGGAGGAACACCGGUGGCGAAGGCGGCGUCCUGGACUGGACCUGACGGCUCAGGAGCGAAAGCGUGGGGGAGCGAUCCGGAUUGAGAUACCCCUG
rnacentral:rRNA from 1 species